CAAACUGAUCCUGUCAGGCCAGGUGUUCAACAUCAAACUGUCCCUGUCAGGCCAGGUGUUCAACAUCAAACUGAUCUUGUCAGGCCAGGUGUUCAACAUCAAACAUCAAACUGUUCCUGUCAGGCCAGGUGUUCAACAUCAAACUUUUCCUGUCAGGCCAGGUGUUCAACAUCAAACUGAUCCUGUCAGGUCAGGUGUUCAACAUCAAACUGUCCCUGUCAGGCCAGGUGUUCAACAUCAAACUGAUCUUGUCAGGCCAGGUGUUCAACAUCAAACAUCAAACUGUUCCUGUCAGGCCAGGUGUUCAACAUCAAACUUUUCCUGUCAGGCCAGGUGUUCAACAUCAAACUGAUCCUGUCAGGCCAGGUGUUCAACAUCAAACUGUCCCUGUCAGGCCAGGUGUUCAACAUCAAACUGUUCCUGUCAGGCCAGGUGUUCAACAUCAAACUGUCCCUGUCAGGCCAGGUGUUCAACAUCAAACUGUUCCUGUCAGGCCACGUGUUCAACAUCAAACAUCAAACUGUUCCUGUCAGGCCACGUGUUCAACAUCAAACAUCAAACUGUCAGGCCAGGUGUUCAACAUCAAACUGUUCCUGUCAGGCCAGGUGUUCAACAUCAAACUGUUCCUGUCAGGCCAGGUGUUCAACAUCAAACUGUCCCUGUCAGGCCAGGUGUUCAACAUCAAACUGUUCCUGUCAGGCCAGGUGUUCAACAUCAAACUGUUCCUGUCAGGCCAGGUGUUCAACAUCAAACUGUUCCUGUCCACCACCACCACCACCCCUCUCUCCAUCAUCAUCAUCACCACCACCACCUCUCUCUCCAUCAUCAUCAUCACCACCACCACCUCUCUCUUCAUCAUCAUCAUCACCACCACCACCUCUCUCUCCAUCAUCAUCAUCACCACCACCACCACCUCUCUCUCCAUCAUCAUCAUCACCACCACCACCACCACCUCUCUC
ensembl:lncRNA